rfam:Ictidomys tridecemlineatus contig101500, whole genome shotgun sequence.
UGGGGUAUGGCUCAGUGGUAGGGCACUCGUCUAGUACAUGUGAGGCACUGAGUUCGAUCCCCAACACCACAU